AGGGGGAGGUUGCAGUGAGCCGAGAUUGCGCCAUUGCACUCCAGCCUGUGCAACAAGAGCCUGUGCAACAAGAGCGAUACUCCAUCUCAAAAAAAAAAGAGAGUUUCACAAUUGUUGCCCAGGUACAGGUUUGCAGAUUCCGCCAGCAGCACAGCAAGCUCUACAGAUGAGUGGCUCUUUGGCAUUUGGUGCUGUGGCAGAUUUGCAAACAAGACUUUCCCAGCAGACUGAAGCUUCAGCUUUAGCUGCAGCUGCCUCUGUUCAGCCACUUGCAACACAAUGUUUCCAACUCUCUAACAUGUUUAACCCUCAAACAGAAGAAGAAGUUGGAUGGGAUACCGAGAUUAAGGAUGAUGUGAUUGAAGAAUGUAAUAAACAUGGAGG
rnacentral:lncRNA from 10 species